UGGCCGGCCGGCCGGCGCAGUGAAAGCCGCACGGUUCCGUCCGUCCUCAGUCCUUCCCGGCCGCUCAGCUGUGCGUCACAUGUCAGACGACACCGCGCGAAUUUACCAUCGUAUCGUGAUAAUACCGCGAUCAUCGUCGGCGUCGUAUUCAGUGUCGUCGUUUCUCUUGCGUCAUUACAGUAGUACUACAUUACUACUACUACUACUAUUACUACUGCGACUACACCAGUACAACUAGUACCAUCGCCAACAGUACUGCUAUUAUUAUUAUUAUUGUAAUAAUAAUAAUAAUAAUAAUAAUAAUAUAACAAUUAUUAUUAUUAUCAUUACCAUCAUCAACGUCAUUAUUACCAUUCUUUCCUUCUUCUUAUCGUACUUUUUUUCAAAACAUCGUACGACCCCGUUGUUGUUUUCUUGAAACUUUUCGAACCGGCUCCGCAUAUACGUACAUACAUAUAUAUAUAUAUGUAUAUGUAUAUGUACAUGUAUACGCAUAUGUAUACCUACACGUAUAUGCAUAUAUAUAGAAUUAUUUUACUUGAUUUUUCCCCAUAAUCAAUCUCAUCGUCACAGAAGAAGUCGGAAGCGCGUACUUUGGACACGAGCACGAAGUUAGUGGCGAGUCGCUUCCACGUAUUAUGCCGUCGUUGGUUAGGCGCAACGAGCGAAAGUACAUAGACGCGAAAUCGAUCGCGUGGUGCCGGGAACAUGAGGACGGCGUGACGAGGAGCAUUGACAGCGAAAGCAACAGCAGUACCUGCAUCAGCAUCAACAGUAUCAACAUUAACAUCAGUAGCAUCAUCAUCAUUAAUAGCAUCGUUACUAAUAUCAACGACAACAAAUACAACAACAACUAUAACAACAGCAACAGCAGCAACAUUAUCAACAGCGACAGCAACAAAAACAACAGUGGCAAUAAUAAUAAUUAUAACGACAAGAACAAUAAUAAUAAAAAUAAUAAUAGGACGGACGACGACGUUAUCUCCCGUUACGUCGUCGUCGUUUUCGUCGUCCUCGUCGUCGAAGAAAAAUUAUAUUACUACGCCCGUCGUGGCACCGUUUAAAGGGCCGCGUGUGCGCGCGCGCACGCACGCACGCACGCACGACGCACGCACGACGCACGACGCUCGCGCCGAACGCCGGAGAACGCGUCCUCGAUCCUCGAGUAUUUCCUCUUCUUCUUCUUCUUCUUCAUCAUCAUAUACUACUACUACGACUACUACUACUACUACUACUAUUACUACUACUAUUACUACUGCUGCUGCAUUGUCUAUUGGCAUUGGUACGCGCUUCCUCGUCUAACCAACAUAUUUUCAUUAAACGUUAUCGAUCUCGAGUCGAUCGUUUAUUUAGCAUUAUGUCGAUCGUUUCGUAGGACGAUCGUUAAGAAUUUUUUUCAAAUACUUCGUUCGUGGAAAAAGGAACUUGUUUAGUUCGACGAGAGCAAGAAAGAGAGAAGAUAAAGAGAAGAAACGAGAAGAGAUAACGAAGAGGAGCGUGCGAGAACGAGACAGAUAUAUAUAUAUACAUAUAUAUAUAUAUAUAUAUAGAGAGAGAGAGAGAGAGAGACAGAGAGUGAGAUACAAUAAAAGAAGUGCAAGGUCUCGGUGAAGUAGGAAGAGAAGAACGGAGCGCGCAGUGGUGUUCGUGAGCCGGGGGGGCAGUGGUGGGAAGGGGGAGAAGCAGGGAGGGAAGGGGAGGUGGAGGUGCGUCAAACGGAAGGCGGAAGGGUGGCCGAGGUUCGCGCGAAGACUCGAAUAAGUUGAGCGCGUUGAGCCGAACGUGGAAGAGAGAUAGAGAUAGAUAGUGAGACAGACGGAUAGAUAGGUAGUUAGACAGAGAAAGAGAGAGAGAGAGAGAAGGAGAGAAAGGAACAGGUAGUGCGUUUAGUGAGUGUGAUAUUGUAACAGAAAGAUUAUAUAUAUAUAUAUAUAUAUAUAUAUAUAUAUACACGUAUAUGCAAUAAAAGAAUUAAAAAAAAGGAAAAUAAUAAGGAAGAAAAGAGAAGCAAAGAAAAAACGAAUCAAGUCGUUCGUUCCUGUACCGUCCGACAGAGUGGAGAGGAAAAAGCUUCGAGCACGAAUAAUGUCGACGGGCAAGAGACUGGCGAAGCGCAGUAUAAUAGGUACGAGGGUGUGCGCGCCCGGCGAGGACGGUAAAUAUUACAGUGGUGUAAUACACGCCGUAAAGACGCCGGCGUCGUCGGCGUCCGAGUCUGGUUUGAGUAUAACACCUAAGACACGGUACUCCGUAAGAUUUGACACGGUGCCCGGUGGCAGACCACCGAGUCCAAGUACCGAAUAUUCCGACCGUGACCUCAUAGGACCCGGAUUUGGUUCCGUCACAGGCGCACGCCUCGUACCAGGUCAGAAGGUUUACCUAACCUACAACGGUAGGGAGAUACAAGCGGAGGUCACUCAGCACCGUGAACAUCUCGACGAGGUUGACGUCGUCAUUGCACCGAACGGACAGGAGGGUACGAUGAGUCUGACAAAACGCAUAGACGAAGUCAGAUUACUGGAGUCACGCAAGAGUGCUCGGUUAGCUGAUCAGGACACUGAUUUCGCUAGACUCGCAGAUAUGGCCGGCGAUCGAAAACGUGCCUCGUCUCACUCCAUCGACGUACCGCACGUGAUCGGGUCUAGAAAACGGCGGCCAAGCUCGAGCAAUGAUUCCGAACGAUCUUACAGUGGAUGGAGCGAAAGGAUACCUCACGGUUGCGGUCGAGAGGGUUGUCGCACCAACGAACGUGGUGAUUGCAUGGACGAAUGCACUGCCGCGUUGGUUCUCAUGUCGCUUUCAUGCUCGCCCCAUAGUCCUCACAACCCCCUGCCACUUCACUGCCAACACAAUUACGGUUCCUGGGGAAGUCGAGGAGGAGGCGGAGGUGGUGUAGUAGUUGGUUCACCAGGAGUCGGUGGUACCUCGAAUAGCAGCAGCAGCAGCAGUGGUGCUUCCUGGCGAAGUGGCACCCCUAGUCCACCCCUAAGCGACGAGGGUGCACCAACGACUGGUUCGUUAUGGCCAACACCAGCCCAUGUUUCGCACAUUAAUCAAGCUCAUUAUCCUUGCAACCUUUCGGGUUCAUCUUCAAGCAGUACACCAGGUUCAACGAUCACUAUGGACGAGGGUAUAGUGCCGGAUUAUCUCGAAGAACAGCAUCCUCGUAAAAAGAAGAUCCGAGCGAAAGCCGACCGAGAUCCGAUCGAAAGUGAACCAGGUUCCUGUGCGACCUUCGAGAGCGAACAGGCAAACGCCGCCGUAGUCUUCAAAUGUACAUGGAAGGGUUGUCUCGAAAUCAAGGCUACAGUACCUCUGAUCGAGGAACACGUGCGCCAGAGUCAUCUUGGUCCAAAGAAAUCGAAAGUCUAUGAGAACGAGGACGAUGACGAUAUAUCGGAUCACGAGGAGGAAUUUUAUUAUCAGGAAGUUGCGGUGGAUCAUAUGAGUUCGCCGCCUACCAUGUCGCACCGGGACAUGGCCAGGCCACCUCACGAAGAUCCGGAGUAUCAGAAACAGCUUCGCUUAGAGGCAGUGCCGGUGAAUCCGAGCAAUACGGAAAGCAACGGUGCAACAGCGAUGCCGUGCGUGAAGGAACGAAACAAUGCAUUCACGAUCCUACAGUCGCCUGGAACGCCGAUCAAGCACAUAAAGUUGUCGCCACGUCCGUUCCAAGCCUAUCACCAGCAGAACAUGGGUCUUUUGACGGUGUCCACAGGAAAGAUACCAUCCUCACCACGUAGGAUCCGCGGUGAAACAAAAAAAUGUCGCAAGGUUUACGGCAUGGAGCACCGUGAUCUCUGGUGCACUCAAUGCAAAUGGAAGAAGGCAUGUAGUCGUUUCGGCGACUAGGCCAAAAAGCCGCCCCGUUCUAACGUCCGCGGGCGGAGAUCAUCGCCGAGCCGACCCCAGAAUAUUAAUACGAUGCCAGUGCCAGCAAGACGUCGAUUGUCCUCGUCGUAUCAUCGUCGACCAGAACAAGUAACUCCGCCGCCAUCAUUACUGUCAUCGGUAUUAUCAUCAACGACAUCGCCAUCGACACUACCAACGACUGCCAACGAUGAUAAUCGAAUCGAGAGAAACGAGCGUCGAAGAGAAACGAGAUCCUCGUUAUAUCGGCACGAUCACUAAAGAACGCGGUUCUUUAGCGAAGAUAUAUAUAUAUAUCUUUAUAUAUAUAUAUAUAUAUCUUUAUAUAUAUAUAUAUACCCUCUUUAUCGUCCACCAUCUUUUAAACGAUGGCUAAAGCGUGUAUAACCACCUCGACGGAUUCCUUCCGAACGAUCGUCCAUCCGUAAGACGCGUUCCUUCUUUUUUUCUUCUUCAUCUUCUUCUUAUUUGUAUUCUUACUCUUAUUCUUAUUCUUCUUUCAUCGUCUUGUCCUUGUCCACUUUUUGAUCUCCUUCGUCUUGUUAAUUCUCCUAUUACUCUCCUUUCUCUUCCCUCCAUUUUAUCCUUCUUCUUCUUCUUCUUAUUCUUCUUCCUCCUCCUCCUUAACCAAUUUCUUUUUUUCUCGAUGACGAGUUUCUCGACGGCCAGAAAUCUCUUCCCAAAGAGAAACGUCUAUCCCAUGACGGAUGGCGGACGGGGUUAUAUAAGGGCCGAUCUUCGUGCGUUCUCCCGAGCUCCUUGUUUCGGGCACACAGCACAACACACAUAUGGCGAACUAUUAGAAAGGGGGAGUUAGAGGAGAUAGAGGGGUGGGAGUGAGACACAGGGGUGCCUUCGCCUUAACGAAGGAAUCUUAAUUAAUUAAUAGAUAGGGAAUAAUUGGUGCGAGCGUGCGCGCGAGGCAUACUAACGACCGAUGCGUGCUCUCCGCAUUUACACAUUAUGUGUAUAUGCAUGUAUGUGUGUACGUGUGUGUGUGUAUGUAUGUAUGUAUGUAUGUAUGUGUCGUCGAGUAUUUCUGUUAAGUUAGAUGGAGAGCGCGUUAAUACGGCCUCGAUCAUGCGUUCGCCGUUCAAUAGGUAACAACUUAUUUAUUCGGUUCGGCAAGCAAGCAUGCCGAAAUCGAAUAAUCGUCGUCGAUCGUCGAUCGUCAAUCGUCAAGCGAACGAUCUUUAAGCCAAUCGAAUAUGCCCGAGCGUUAAAAAACAUUUUUUUCUUUGUAGACUUCUCGAGGUACACACACGUUAUAUAUUAUAUAUGUAUGUAUAUAUGUGUGUGUGUAUGUAUAUAUAUAUAUAUAUAUUACCGAUCUCACAGAACAGAGAUAUCUACCUUAUCGACGACGACGUCGUCACCAAAUCACCAUUUUCAUUUUAUAACAAUAUCUCUAAAAUAUCUCUCUAAAAUCUAUCGAUCCUACUUGAAAUCGCGUUAGAUAAGCUCCAAUCGUAAAAAAGAACGAAAAUAUCGAAAUAAUGUUCUGUUCUUUGACGAAUAAUGUGUGUGUCUGUAUAUAUAUAUAUAUGUAUGUAUGUAUAUGGAUGCACACGUAAAUACGUGUGUUAUCUUCGAAAGAAAACAUCGAAGACAGACGACAGUGGCAAAUCGGUAUUUCGACAGGCGUAUUUCGUCGCGUCGAUCGAGCCUACGGAAAUCUACCUCGACGUUUAUCUUAACGUUCGCUGAUCGAAAUCGUAAUAAUAGCGUUUUACGACUUACCUGUAUAUGUAUGUAUGCGCGCGUACAGAAAUGUCUAUGUAUUUCGAAUGAAAAUAAUAUAUACAAUAUGUCGAAGCGAUUUGCUUUGCGUUCGCUGUCUCUGAGGCUAUGCCAUAUGAGGUAAACGUAAUAUAUUAUUACUCCGUUAUCUUUUUCUCUGCGAAAUACAAAAAUAUAAUCUGUAUAUAUAUAUAUAUGUAUGUAAAGACGCAUAUUAUCUUACAACCUCGACGUGUAGUCGGUUCGAUGAAUUUUAUUGAUUCGAUAAUAACCAGACAAAUCGUGAGAAAAGACAAGGAAAAAGGAAAAAAGAAACAACAACAAAUAUUUUCAUUCUUCCGUCUACUUUUUCGUUAUACCUACGUACAUACGUCAUUUACUUUUUUGGCUUCAAUCGUUUCUACGAUCGACGAUCGAUAGUAGCAUAAUAUACAUAUGUAUCUCUCUCUCUCUCUCUCUCUCUCUCUUUCUCUCAUUUUCAAAUUAAAGAUAGAAAGAAAAAGAGGAAAAGAGAGAGAGAGAGAGAGAAAGAGAGAAAAAGAUGAGAAAGCCGCAUGUCCGAACCAUCUUUUCUUAGCUCAUUGUUAAACACACACGUACAUACAUAACACACACACACACACACACACAGAGAGAUACGUGACAUAUAUACACACUUAUACAAACGUUCUUCUUCCGGCAUAUAGAGAACGCUAAGAGUUACACACUGUACUCUUAUCGCUCGUCGCAGCCGCUCGUUUUUGCUAAAGAUAAAGAAAAUAAAGAAAGAAUAGACGAAAAUCUGAAGUAAGAUAAAAAAUUAUUAUACGACACGUUAUAUCUACACGCAUUACACUAACACUUAUAUUUACACCUACACGGACACGGACACGGAUACAUAGGAUAUAAAGAAGAAUUAACACACGUAUUAGCGAAUUAAUGCGUACGCAAAAAUAUAUACGCAUAUAUACGUACUAUACAUAUACAUGGUAUACAAACACGUUUCGUCGGCUUUUAACGGCGACAUAUUAAAAAAUUAAGGAAAAAAAAAAAGGAAAGAAAAGAGGAAGAAAAGGGAGACAUGAUAAAAGAAAAGGAAUACGAAUGGAAGAGCCGUAAAUGUUUUACGACAUAUACAAUUUGCAGUUUUAUUUGCAAACGAAUAUAUAUAUCUAUAUAUAUAUGUAUGUAUAUGUAUAUAUAUAUAUAUAUAUAUAUAGAUAUAUAUGUAUAUUUAAAUAUAAGUAAUUAAUCGUUUUAUAUAAAAACAAUAAAAAAUAAACUAAAAUAAAAUAAAAUAAAGUAAAGUAAAGUAAAGUAAAGUAAAGUAAAGUAAAGUAAAGUAAAAUAAAACAGAAUAUAUAAAAGCAAGAUGGAAGAGACGCGAGCGCGCGGCCGCUUGAUGAUAUAUAAUGUAUAAAAUAAGAGAGAAAAAAAAACAGAUAUAUUAUAUAUAUUAUAUAUAUAUAAAGGUACAUAUGUAUAUGUAUAUUAUUAGGAAAAAUAACGUACGUCUUUCAAUGUAUUUGCAAUCUUUGAAAUUCCACGACCCGAAGAAUUUUCGAAGGACUGCGAGUGAAAGACGAGAAGAAAGAGAAGACGAGAAUUCGAAUCGAGAUCGAUCGAGCCUAUCGACGAUGUUCUUGCUGGGAUCAUACGCGGCCGUACGAAACUAAUAAUUAAAAGGGAGAAAGAAACGAAUUAAAUAAAAGAAAAAGAAAGAAUGAAAAAAAGAGAAAGAGAAAGAGAGAGAGAGAGAGAGAGAAAGAAAAUAACGAUUAUUCGACGUAUAAGAAAACCGAUUGUGAUAUUUUAGUGUGAAUAUUAAAAAACGACGAAGUAAACGAAAAACAAAUAAAAAAGAAAAACGCAAAAAAAAGAAAAACAAAAAGAGACUUUCUCGUAGACGAA